UCGCGGCCUAUCAGCUUGUUGGUGAGGUAACGGCUCACCAAGGCGACGACGGGUAGCCGGCCUGAGAGGGUGACCGGCCACACUGGGACUGAGACACGGCCCAGACUCCUACGGGAGGCAGCAGUGGGGAAUAUUGCACAAUGGGCGCAAGCCUGAUGCAGCAACGCCGCGUGAGGGACGACGGCCUUCGGGUUGUAAACCUCCUUUAGUAGGGAAGAAGUGAAAGUGACGGUACCUGCAGAAAAAGCACCGGCUAACUACGUGCCAGCAGCCGCGGUAAUACGUAGGGUGCAAGCGUUGUCCGGAAUUAUUGGGCGUAAAGAGCUCGUAGGCGGUCUGUCGCGUCUGCUGUGAAAACCCGAGGCUCAACCUCGGGCCUGCAGUGGGUACGGGCAGACUAGAGUGCGGUAGGGGAGAUUGGAAUUCCUGGUGUAGCGGUGGAAUGCGCAGAUAUCAGGAGGAACACCGAUGGCGAAGGCAGAUCUCUGGGCCGUAACUGACGCUGAGGAGCGAAAGCGUGGGGAGCGAACAGGAUUAGAUACCCUGGUAGUCCACGCCGUAAACGUUGGGCGCUAGAUGUGGGGACCAUUCCACGGUUUCCGUGUCGCAGCUAACGCAUUAAGCGCCCCG
rnacentral:rRNA from 1 species